AAUUUUAAGGUCAAGCUACAAAGGGCGCAUGGUGAAUGCCUUGGCACUAGGAGCCGAAGAAGGACGCGAUAAGCUGCGAUAAGCCUUGGGUAGCCGCAAAUAGGCUGAGAUCCAGGGAUUUCCGAAUGAGGAAACUCACAUGGGUAACCCCAUG
rnacentral:rRNA from 1 species